rnacentral:tRNA from 1 species
GGGCUGAGGCUCAGUGGUGGAGCACUUGCCUAGCAUGUGGGAGGCCCUGGGUUCGAUUCUCAGUAGUGCA